ensembl:lncRNA
GUCUGUUAGGGCAUCAGUAAAAGUGCCCUGAUGCUGCUGGAAGGGACCUCAUCAGCAUGUCAGGGAAAUGUGUUCGGCAGAGUUUGUCAGUCCUGGCAUGGACAGAGCAAGCCAUGGGGUGAGAACAGCAAGGUCAGUUCCUCUUGGCCAUGGCAGCAGCUGCAGUACCUCUGGGCCACCCUGCAGGGCAGCGACAUCCUUCAGGCAGUGUCACAUCCAACUGGAGAGGAGCAGAGCCCUGGGCAGGGCUGGAUGGCUGCACCUCUGGCAAUGCGUGGCAGUGCUUUGCUGUUGUCAGUUCCCUUCAGGGAAGGCUCUGGGCUUGGAUUGAAGGGAGCUGCCAGGGAGCCCCACACAUGUGUUUGCAGAAGGACAUGGGGGUACAGUGGGCUCUCAGCCCCCCUCCCUCUCACCCUGCAUCCCCAGAGAGGCCUGGAUGAUGUGAGCACCCGGAGCUGCCAGGUUAUGUAUGUCUUCCUGCCUUGGUGAGACCCUGUGCUACCCCAAGGACCACGUUUUCAUCUCCAUCUGCCGUAAGCUGCACGUUAGUGUCAUCCUCAUCAGUGCUGCGUGAGGGCUGUGGGCUGCUGGUUCGUGUUCUGCUGAUGCUGAGCGAACAUUCGAGCUGAUUAAAACUGGAAGUGGCGUCAGCUGGGGUAUUAAAAGCUCUUGAACAAGCCCAGAAACAACGUGCGUCAGUGCAGCGAGCUUGGAAGCGGUCAGACCAGGAUCUUCCUUCAGCUGCUUCAGGGAGGCAUGAGUAGCAGCAGCACUGCCCUGCUUGCUGAUGGAGCUGCAGCACAGGAGGAAUCUUCCAGGCAAUUCUUCACUCUGUUGCUCCUGCCCUGAUGUCCCAUUGCCUCCCACAAGACACAGAACAGCCUCUUUCUGAUUCCAGCUAAGUGCAGGGCGGCUGUGGUCUCUUCCUUUAAAAGUGGAUUCUGCAGGUUUAUUUACCAGGGACCCAUCAUCUCCAUUACGUGCAACGAGGGGCAGUGAAGAUAAGGGAAGGUGAAAAUACAAAAGAUCCUCGGUCUUCAGGAUCUCUGGCAAUGUGAAAUGUUUGGGUGUUAACUUUGUUUUGUUGGUGAGCGUUUUGUUGGUGUUUGGGGGGCACAGGAGGGCUGCAGGGGCACAGGCUGGGCACUUAUCGUGCUCACCAGACCAUUGAAUGAGAUCCAGAGCACAGAGCUGCCCUGCCCAGCCCUCCCCAUGUCCCCCUGCUCUGCAGUUGGACUUGAUAGGAGUUAAUAGACAGCUGUGGUCUGCUGCCACACAGGAUUGCUGAGCCCAGCUGGGCGCAGGUUGGGGUUUAAAGCUAUUGCUUCCACUUAGGAAAUGGGUUUGCAGCUGGAAUGCAUUGCUUUAGAAGUGAGUCUUACGGACCAUGUGUUGCAAGCAGUAGAAUGUCUUUACAGCCAGGCAGCUUCUGGAUAGGUGCAUGCUGCCUGGACUAGAAACAGCUGGUGUUAGGUAUAGAGUAGCAUAAGCUGGAAAGGUGCUGGAGAGUCAGCACUGCCCUGCGAGGGGCAGACCUUUGUCUCCCUAAGCUGGGUGUCACUAGUGAUGUUUGUUAGGGACACAGAGCUAAUGGGGGAUGUGUAGGUACAUUUUGUUUGCAUACAAGAGAAACAGAAAACAAUCCACUACUCUGAGCCAUUUGAUGCCAAUCUUCGGUUGUGAGGAGUGGUGCUUGGGAGAGGAGGUUUGGCCUCAGUGGCUCAUGGGCUGGAUUCUAGCCUGCUUUAAAACACUUCUUCCUGCUAGAUAACUGUCUCAAUAAAGCAAAAGACAUUGUGGUCGCUUGGUUGCAGUCAUACAGCUCAGGUAAGGAGACUGGAACCUCAGGCCGAUCAGUUAACACUUAGUCUCCUUGCCUGUAUUGUAGUAACACUAACACUCUGGGGCUAUGCUGCUUGUCUUUAGACUUUGCUCACUGUAAAUGCAGUGUAUGGCACCACCUCUUUUCCAGCCUCUGGGGCCUGGACAAGCUAAAACUCUCCCUGCUGAGCUGACAUUGUCGGAACCAGUCUGGGGAGCAGCAUCACUGCCACUGUUCAGCCCCUGCAGCACCAGGGCUCAGGCAGAAGAGGGUCCCUUGGAUCCCACUGCCUCCCAGCUGUUGGCAUUGCCCCUCUCCUGGGCAGGGUUGGACGGCCCCACUCAUGCCCAGCAUUGCCCCAAGGGCCGUAGUGAGCUGAGAACUGAUCUCUCUUGUUCACAGUACAGUGCUAGUGUCCUACUCCAAACCUUUGUUCUUCCACCCAGUAGAGCUUUUGUUGCUUAUUGACUGUUACAACCCAUCCCUGGCAUGAACUGGUGCAUGCAGAAGGCUAUACCCUCCCAUCCUGCUCACGGGUUAAUCUUCUGGAAGGGCCCUUUGUUGGGAGAAGUGAGCUUCCCAGCAGGAGGUCUGCAUGCAGGACAUGGAGGUGAGCACUGGGGAAGUGCCCCCUCCUGGCCCAUCGCAGGUUCAGGCCACCUUCAAACCACACAUCUUCACCUCAGCUUUUGCAUUUCAGAUGUGUUUGUAAAGCAGCUUGAUGUUAGCGAGCUAGACCGUAGUGCCUUACUUAGGAGUUAGCAAACACUUCUGAGGACGAGCCCUAGGCUGCUAGCCUUUGGCCAACGUGGAUGUUUCCCUGUUAAUUUGCCCUUUUCAGAGCAUUUCUCCCUGAUGAUUUUGCUGCUGUUUGCGCUCGAUUUCCUGGACUGUAGAUGAAGCUGCCUUGUGUUUACAGCUCCUAGCACCUCUCCUCCAAUUGCUUUAGCCCAGACCAAACCUGUUCUGCGGAGCGAGGUGGCAGCGUCGGGUGUCUCUCCCCACCUGGAUCUGUCGAGCAUCUCCUGCAGGCUGAACCCUGCAGAGGGAGUUUUUGGCAUUGGGCUGCAUCGCUGGGAAUGUUCGAGCUUAGGAUAGCAACUCCAAGGCUGGGGCCAGGGCAACUCCAUCUCCUGGCUGCAGCAAAGCAUCCAGGUGUGGAGGGGGUUGCUGUUAUGGGGGAAGCCGAGUGCCCUCCCGCCGCCCUUUGGGCUUUGUGGGGUCCAGGCUGAGCCCAGCGCUGGGGGUGAUUGUAUGAAACUGUUUACUUCUGACUGCUGUUUACAAGAGGGAGG